rnacentral:rRNA from 1 species
UACGGAAGGGGCAAGCGUUGUUCGGAAUCAUUGGGCGUAAAGGGCGCGUAGGUGGUUCUGUAUGUCUAUCGUGAAAGCGUACGGCUCAACCGUAUUUUGUCGGUAGAAACUGCAGGACUUGAGGCUGGGAGGGGCUGGUGGAAUUCCCUGUGUAGCGGUGAAAUGCGUAGAGAUCGGGAGGAACACCGGUGGCGAAGGCGGCCAGCUGGCGCGUGACCUG